AUUUAUUCCAAAAUCGUUCGUUCCUUUGGCCAUUUAUUCCGAAAUAUUAUUUGUUCCAAUGACCAUUUGUUCCAAAAAACACUUCGACGUUUUACUCGUGGAACGAAGUAUUCAUAGAACAAAUGUCCAUUGGAAGACAUUUUUGCGGAACAUAAGUCCGACGGAACAAGUAUUUUGUGGGACAAACUUGUUACACCCGAAAAAACGGCACCUAUAUUUUGUAUUAUUCACGAG